UACGUAGGGUGCAAGCGUUAAUCGGAAUUACUGGGCGUAAAGCGUGCGCAGGCGGUUAUGCAAGACAGAUGUGAAAUCCCCGGGCUCAACCUGGGAACUGCAUUUGUGACUGCAUCGCUGGAGUGCGGCAGAGGGGGAUGGAAUUCCGCGUGUAGCAGUGAAAUGCGUAGAUAUGCGGAGGAACACCGAUGGCGAAGGCAAUCCCCUGGGCCUGCACUGACGCUCAUGCACGAAAGCGUGGGGAGCAAACAGG
rnacentral:rRNA from 1 species